GACGAACGCUGGCGGCGUGCCUAAUACAUGCAAGUCGAACGAACCGACGAGAAGCUUGCUUCUCUUAUCUUAGUGGCGGACGGGUGAGUAACACGUGAAUAACCUGCCUAUAAGACUGGGAUAACUGCUGGAAACCGUAGCUAAUACCGCAUAAUCUCAUGAUCCGCAUUGUUCAAAAGUGAAAGACGGUAAUUCUGUCACUUAUAGAUUCACCCGCGAUUCAUUAGCUAGUUGGUAAGCUGACGGCAUACGAAGGCAAUGAUGGACAGCCGACCUGAGAGGGUGGAGGGCCAGACGGGAAGUGAGACAGGGCCGCGACUCCUGCGGGGGGAAGCAGUCGGGAAUCUUGCGCAAGGAGGGAAAGCGUGACGGAGCACCGCGGGGUAAGGGAUGAUGCUGUUAGGACGGGAAGACGCUGUAAGUUGGGAGAAAGUAAUGUGUAGUUGACAGUGCACAUAAUGACGGUACCUAACCAGAAAGCCACGGCUAACUACGUG
rnacentral:rRNA from 1 species